rnacentral:rRNA from 1 species
UUGAACGCUGGCGGCAGGCCUAACACAUGCAAGUCGAGCGGUAGCACAGAGAGCUUGCUCUCGGGUGACGAGCGGCGGACGGGUGAGUAAUGUCUGGGAAACUGCCUGAUGGAGGGGGAUAACUACUGGAAACGGUAGCUAAUACCGCAUAAUGUCGCAAGACCAAAGUGGGGGACCUUCGGGCCUCAUGCCAUCAGAUGUGCCCAGAUGGGAUUAGCUAGUAGGUGGGGUAACGGCUCACCUAGGCGACGAUCCCUAGCUGGUCUGAGAGGAUGACCAGCCACACUGGAACUGAGACACGGUCCAGACUCCUACGGGAGGCAGCAGUGGGGAAUAUUGCACAAUGGGCGCAAGCCUGAUGCAGCCAUGCCGCGUGUGUGAAGAAGGCCUUCGGGUUGUAAAGCACUUUCAGCGGGGAGGAAGGCGAUAAGGUUAAUAACCUUGUCGAUUGACGUUACCCGCAGAAGAAGCACCGGCUAACUCCGUGCCAGCAGCCGCGGUAAUACGGAGGGUGCAAGCGUUAAUCGGAAUUACUGGGCGUAAAGCGCACGCAGGCGGUCUGUCAAGUCGGAUGUGAAAUCCCCGGGCUCAACCUGGGAACUGCAUUCGAAACUGGCAGGCUAGAGUCUUGUAGAGGGGGGUAGAAUUCCAGGUGUAGCGGUGAAAUGCGUAGAGAUCUGGAGGAAUACCGGUGGCGAAGGCGGCCCCCUGGACAAAGACUGACGCUCAGGUGCGAAAGCGUGGGGAGCAAACAGGAUUAGAUACCCUGGUAGUCCACGCCGUAAACGAUGUCGAUUUGGAGGUUGUGCCCUUGAGGCGUGGCUUCCGGAGCUAACGCGUUAAAUCGACCGCCUGGGGAGUACGGCCGCAAGGUUAAAACUCAAAUGAAUUGACGGGGGCCCGCACAAGCGGUGGAGCAUGUGGUUUAAUUCGAUGCAACGCGAAGAACCUUACCUGGUCUUGACAUCCACAGAACUUUCCAGAGAUGGAUUGGUGCCUUCGGGAACUGUGAGACAGGUGCUGCAUGGCUGUCGUCAGCUCGUGUUGUGAAAUGUUGGGUUAAGUCCCGCAACGAGCGCAACCCUUAUCCUUUGUUGCCAGCGGUUAGGCCGGGAACUCAAAGGAGACUGCCAGUGAUAAACUGGAGGAAGGUGGGGAUGACGUCAAGUCAUCAUGGCCCUUACGACCAGGGCUACACACGUGCUACAAUGGCAUAUACAAAGAGAAGCGACCUCGCGAGAGCAAGCGGACCUCAUAAAGUAUGUCGUAGUCCGGAUUGGAGUCUGCAACUCGACUCCAUGAAGUCGGAAUCGCUAGUAAUCGUAGAUCAGAAUGCUACGGUGAAUACGUUCCCGGGCCUUGUACACACCGCCCGUCACACCAUGGGAGUGGGUUGCAAAAGAAGUAGGUAGCUUAACCUUCGGGAGGGCGCUUACCACUUUGUGAUUCAUGACUGGGGUG